UUUUUCCUUGCAUGCCUCCCAAACAGCUUGUUGGCAUGUAUAGAGGUUCUGAUAAUUGUUAUGGAGACUUUGUAACCCCAAGAUGCCACUCUUUGAUGCAAUUCUGUGACAGUAAGCUUAGGAAAUUUUUUUACUUCUCUAACCAUCCUCCUCACUGUGCGUUGUGGCAAGAUAAACUUGGGACCUCUUCCAGCCUUGUUUGUCACUGUUCCAGUUGUUUUAAACUUCUUAAUGAUUCCUCUAACUGUAAAUACGGGCAAGUUAAGGCGAGUGGCUAUUUUCUUGUAGCCAUUGCCUGACUUAUGAAGGUCGACACACAUCUGCCUUACUUGAAUGGUGUGUUCUAGCGUCUUUGCCAUGAUGACAAAUGGGAAUUGUUAGGGGUGCCAAUAAUGGUGGAACAGACACAUAAAACUUUAUUAUGGAGCUGCACAUGAUCAAAACAGCUUCGGUUAUUCAAUAUAUACCGACAGACUGCUAAUUGCACAGACUAAACAGAUGGACUUAAUAAUAGUAAUGAUCAGUCUUAUAACCACU